rnacentral:rRNA from 1 species
CAGCCGCCGCGGGAAUACGAAGGGUGCAAGCGUUACUCGGGAUUACUGGGCGUAAAGCGUGCGUAGGUGGUUGUUUAAGUCCGUUGUGAAAGCCCUGGGCUCAACCUGGGAAUUGCAGUGGAUACUGGGCAACUAGAGUGUGGUAGAGGAUAGUGGAAUUUCCGGUGUAGCAGUGAAAUGCGUAGAGAUCGGAAGGAACAUCUGUGGCGAAGGCGGCUACCUGGACCAGCACUGACACUGAAGCACGAAAGCGUGGGGAGCAAACAGGAUUAGAUACCCCUGUAGUCCCUGUCUCUUAUAC